UACGUAGGGUGCGAGCGUUGUUCGGAUUUACUGGGCGUAAAGGGCGCGUAGGCGGCCAGCACAAGUCAGUUGUGAAAAUCUCCGGGCUUAACUCGGAAAGGUCAACUGAUACUGUGCGGCUAGAGUGCAGAAGGGGGCAACUGGAAUUCUCGGUGUAGCGGUGAAAUGCGUAGAUAUCGAGAGGAACACCUGCGGCGAAGGCGGGUUGCUGGGCUGACACUGACGCUGAUGCGCGAAAGCCAGGGGAGCGAAGCGGG
rnacentral:rRNA from 1 species